rnacentral:lncRNA from 13 species
CUCGGAUGGUUGAGGAGCAGCUCUCUGGGAACUGUGGGGUGGGGGAGAUCUUAGAGGGCUGGUGGCCUGGAGGUUAAGUGCUUGGGCCUGUGGCUGAUUGGUCGCUGAUUCAGGUGCCCAUUUUUGACCUUGUGGGAGAUCUGUCAAUGUGCCCUUGAGCAGGGCGUUGACCCUGGUUGCUUCCAUGGGUCGCUCUGGAUGGGAGUCUGUUAGAUGACUGAAUGUAAUGUAAAUGUUGAGCGGCUUACUGCAAGAAGUAGAUUGUAUGUUUUAAUAUUACAUUUAAAAAAAAAUCAAUUUAAGAUAGACCUCAACCUUUCACAUGAAUGGUCAAUAAGAGGAAGACAAUUUUGUCUGUGGAUAUGAACCAAGGGAUGACCUGCAUACUCACAGGGAUGUUAUCAGGACCCCUAGACAUGCUUGUGCAAUUCUGCCUGAUUAUAAAAGGGGAAAUGCUGGGACAGGAGUGCGUGUCAGGUUGUUUCCUGACCAGGAUGUAAGGUGUGAUCUGUGUCUUCUGUUUCAGUCAUCAGUCUGGUUGGCCAGAGGAGAGGGGUCACCUCCUUUCCCAGUCGCCUCUCCCCACCUCAUCCCUCCUCCUCUCCCCUCCCUUCUUCUACCAACAGAGAAUACCUGGAAUGUUUUAUUGACAGGCAGAACACAAUGGGUCGACAGGGAGGAGACAAGUAGCAUGAGACCUGGAGAGACCAGACCAGCCAAUAUCCCACACCAGCCACUGUCAAGAUGCACUUCAAGAAGUGCUUCUCCCUUUGAAGCAUAAGGGAUAGGCGGAUAAGAGUACCUUACAAACGCAUCACCAUCAUGAGUCAAGGUUUGCUAUUAUACAACAUUCUCUCUGUUACUGUACUGUCAUCCCUCUAUUGAAACUAAUACUACAGCCUAGCUCACUGUCAUUAACAGCAUGUUGUGAUCGACUAAACUGAGCUGCAUACCUGCCAGAAGGGUGAUUUUGUGUCAGUCUGGACACAGGGAUGAGACACAAGCAGUGGUGGAAUUAGGCAUAGGCGGCAUGGGGCGCCUGCACAAAAAAAAAAUAAUUUUCAAAAAUUGAACGUAAAAAAUAUUCUGAAUGGUGACAUUUGCACGAUCGGUUUUCUAUUGCUCAUUUGCACGUCACGUCAAUGAUAUCAUGUCACUGUGUGGGACUGUGGGUCAAUUAAUCUAGUCGGAGUGGGAGCUUGGCAGGCUACUGCCUGGGAAGGUCUCCCACUCAGAAGUACGAGAUGGGGAAGGGGGGCGGGGGUAAGUUGACCUCAGGUCUCCCCACUGGAAGCCCGAGGUAGGGGGAGCGGGAGAAUCUAUCAAAUAGGGCACCUCUAACUUUGUACAGUACUAAUACAAUUAGUUGUGUAAUUUAGUUUGUGUGUUUCUUGUUUGAAGUGCAAUAGUGUAAUAAUCAGGUUCUCUUCUUUAUAAAUGUGUUAUUAUAUUUGUGUAUUGUGUGAUAUAGGAUUUGUGCAAUUUAGUUUUGUGUUUUUUUGUUAAAAAUAAAUAGAAUAGAAAUAUAUAUACAAACAUAAUACUCAUAAGUAUCAAAAAGAAGUAACAAAGACAAAUAGAAACAAAUUGUAGUAUAUAAAUACAAAUAAAGAUACUUGAAUUAUUACACUAUUACCUAGUGUAAUAAUUAGAUUCUCUUUAUUUGUAUGUAUGUAAUACAAUUUGUUUCUAUUUGUCUUUGUUACUUCUUUUUGAUAUGAAUGAGUCUUAUUUCUGUAUAUAUAUUUAUAUUUAUAUAGUUUUAAAUGUUAUGAUUAUUUAUUUGGGUUGUUCCGAAUGUCUGAAUAAAAAUUACAUUUAGUGCAGAAUGGUGCUUUUUGUUGUGUGUUGGGGGGAGACAGGGAUGAGACAGGAAAAUGAGACACAGAGAUGAGACACAGGGAUGAGACACAGGGAUGAGACAGGGAGAUGAGAUACAGGAAAAUGAGACACAGAGAUGAGACACAGGGAUGAGACACAGAGAUGAGACAGGAAAAUGAGACACAGAGAUGAGACACAGGGAUGAGACAGGAAAAUUAGACACAGAGGUGAGACACAGG